rnacentral:rRNA from 1 species
AUGAACGCUAGCGACAGGCCUAACACAUGCAAGUCGAGGGGCAACGGGGCGUAGCAAUACGCUGCCGGCGACCGGCGGAUGGGUGAGUAACGCGUAUGCAACCUGCCUUCAGCAGGGGGAUAGCCCGUUGAAAGACGGAUUAAUACCCCAUAACACAGGGGCUCCGCAUGGAGAUUAUUGUUAAAGGGAUGCUUCCUUCGGGGGUAUUCCGGCUGAAGAUGGGCAUGCGUUCCAUUAGGUAGUUGGUUGAGGUAACGGCUCACCAAGCCUGCGAUGGAUAGGGGAACUGAGAGGUUGGUCCCCCACACUGGUACUGAGACACGGACCAGACUCCUACGGGAGGCAGCAGUGAGGAAUCUUGGUCAAUGGACGGAAGUCUGAACCAGCCAUGUCGCGUGAAGGAGGACGGCCCUAAGGGUUGUAAACUUCUUUUGCAGCGGAAUAAAGUAUUCCACGUGAUGGGAUAUUGCAAGUACGCUGCGAAUAAGGAUCGGCUAACUCCGUG